CAACAAUUUAAAAAAAUUACAAAGCACAAACACAUACCACUUUUACAUGGAAAAUAUGGCCUGUUCAAAUUUUAAAAAAUUGACACAAACCAUCACCAAGGAAGCCCAGAUAUUGGACUUACUAGAUAAGGUCUUGUUGUUGAGAACAGAAUAUCUUAAUAUUAUAAUGUGAUAGCUCUGGAAAUCGAAUUCUCCACCUUCCUCAGCAUUUACUUUUCACUGUUUGUCUGUAAUCAUCUUUUGACCCAGUAACUUUCCCAUCCCUCUUGCCCAGAGACCCGAUCCCCUGUCAGGUGUGCCCCUGGUGCUCAGCGAGGGUGUGGACCGGGGCUGCCUUGCCUGACAGGCACGCAGACCUCGCCUGCCUCCUUUGGUCCUCUCCUCGAAGCUCUGCACUGUGAUUCGCAUUCUGAGCACCGGGAUCAGCCAAAGAUGAACCCUAAGGUCUCUCCAGGACUUUUCUGCGCAUGAAUCUCGUCAUGGGUGUGGGUGUGGCUUUGCAAAUUCUCCUGGAUACACCUGCACUUUUGAAUGCCCUGAGUCUCCAAAGAAAUUCUCUCCCUGAUCUUUUCUCCCACUGCGUGGGUCAUCUGUCGGGUCUCAGUCUUGCUACAGGUUGUUUCCCGCCAUCCAAUGCGCCAAGGAUCGAACUCUGGUCCUUGCGCUUUCCAGGCAGGCGGUGGAACCACUGAGCUAAAUCCCGGCCCCACGUGUGCAUUUUUUGAAAGAACAGCCGGACUACCUUCACUUCUCUCCUGCAUCGCUUCUUUGCACAGGCUGCUUUUCUGGGACUGUCCGUGUCAACGUCGCCGGUAGCCCGGUAGCCCCUGUCACCCCCGGAGCCCUGGGACGGCGGCCUACCCGCUGCGGUGCCCUCUUCCUGGACCGCUCUGCCUCAUCCCUCCAAUCUUUCCUCCCCAGCUCGCCAGCCCACUCUGAGCCCUGUCACGUCGUUGCUGGGUGGAUCUUUCCUGAGCACGCUCCCCUGGCCCCUCACAGAGUCCUGUCACCAGCACCUCCUGUUCCUCUCCCGCCACAGUCGCCCUCUCUGGGCUUCUUCCUCCUCCAACCGCACCCUAGCCCCCUGCCACCCUCAGCUCCUUCCAGGCCAGUCUCCCCAGAGCCUCAGGGUCACCGGACCCUCCUGCAGCGAGGACUCAGUCUCCGGGACCCCGGGUCUCGUUCAGGCUCACAGUGCCCUCCCCUGUCUUGCUGUGGCCAGGGCAGACACCUCUUCCAGUCCCUCUCCCUGUCACUGGGGCCUGAAAUACGGAUGUGCCAGCGGUUUGGGUGUCUUCGGUCACCAAACACCCAGCAUAAACAACGUGAAGAAGGAAGCACUGGCUUCGGCUCCAGCUUCAAAGCUGUGGCCCCUGGGUCCCCUUGCCUGGGCCGGGCAGUCCAGCCCAUCGUGGAGCCUGAGCUUGGCAGGGGUGGAGAGGGGCCUGGCUGGGUCCAGGUGACCCCCCUGAGUGCACUCGGGCCCCAACUUCCUCCUGACGACGACGUCACAGUAUAUUCUGCUCAAAACCAGAAGAGACCACAACCGUCACUGUGCAGGCUUAAGAACGUGACGAGCCAGGCACGGUGGCCUACACGGCGACCCCACCACUCAGGGGAACGAGAGGGUCCCAAGUCCAGCCCAGCCGAGGCUACGCAGUGAGUGCAGGGCAGGCAGAAACCAGUGAGAGAGUGAGCCACUCACCCGAGCCCCCAGGCCCCUGCUCCACCCUGGCAGGCGGGCGGUUGUCAGCUGUCCCUGACUGCCAGGCUGCCAGGAAACCAGCCCAGGGGCCUAGGAGCCCCAGCAGGCAGGCCUCUCGGUCACGGCGACAGGGACGCCUCUCCUCUCCCUGAGCCAGGCCACCUGCACCUGCCCCUGCUCCGAGGCCUGUCCUCUAUUUUAAUUAACGGGUCGUGCUGGGACUGCUCCACCCUGGCACAAGCUCCGUGCCUUAGUGCUGUCCAGGGAGAAGGAAAGAACAAGGCCUCAUUACUCGCAUCUGUGCUCAACAAGGGAAGCAGAUGCCACUGCCUCUGAGCCAGUCCGGCCGCCAGCAACCGAAGCAUGAGGCCAAACUUGCUUCCGCCAUGCGAAGGACCCAGGAGGAGCCGGGAAAAAGUGGUAACCGCCGCGGUGAGGGCCUCAGAGGCUGGAGACUGUCCCUCACAGGAGGGUCCUGGGAAGGGCGGCACGGGCUUGAAGACGUCUUCAGAGGUGGUUCCUGGCGUUAGCACAGACCCCGGGCUCCUUCUGUCGUGAGUCUCACCUGCGUCGGAACCAGCUGCUGCGCCUCCCACUUCUGAGACUUCCCUGAAGGCCUCGCCCACUGACAGAGCCUUCCCAGGUCUUCAGCGAUGCAGACGAGUGAGUGUGUACUCACGCGUGUGUGGGCAUGUCUCUGCCCUGACGUUGGAAGAAAGUUGCCAUUGUGCCUUUUAAAUCCCUGUUAGCCAAUAAAACAACCAAG
rnacentral:lncRNA from 1 species